CCAACCAACCAAUGCAUCAACUAAGAAGCAUUUAUUAAACAUCUUCCAUGUGCCAGUUAAAACAACAUGAGACCAGGAGUCAGGAGACCUGGUUUUUCUGUUCUUGGGAUUACCACUAAUUAGCUGUUUGACCUUAGGGAUGUGGUGAGGAUCAAAUAAAACAGUUCAUGUGAAAGUUCCUUCAAGAUUAUAUAGAGGUAUAUGAAUGCAUGGUGAUGCACAACUAUAAUCCCUGUUACUGGAGAGGCUGAGUCUGGUGAAUCACUUAAGAAGAUAGAGCAUCCUUGCUAAGGCUGGCACCAGGAUGGCACCCAAGGCUCUCAGGCCACCUCAAAUUCUCUUCUAUCAAAGAGAAAAGGAAUCUGAGAAGUGAAAACAUAGGAUGCGGCAAACUUUGUUUUUGUACCCUUCCACCUCUUACUCCCUCUUCAUAAUUCUUUUCCUCUUUGUGCAUUACUAUGUACCCCUACCUUCUGCCCUGUAUCUAGUAUCAUCUUAUUGCCCCUUGACCACACAGGACACCAACCAUGGUGAAUAGUUGGGGAAGAUGCAGAACAGGGCAGUAGGAGAAAAUCUAGACAUGUAACUUGGGUACCAAGGGAGCCAUGGCAUCAGAUAACUGACAUGAUACAAGGUGGGCAGUAAGUGAUAUUAUGGUAAGCAAGGAGGGGAGGGCAUCAGGAUAAUUGGAUGGAAGGUUGUGGGGAUCAUAGAGAUCUCACAAGAUCAGGUGGUUUGAAUGUCAAUUAGAGUUUCAGUCCUUGGGAGGACUAUUGAGAGCUAAGUAUGGCCCCAGUCCCAUAGGAACUGAGGUAUGGAGUAAGAUAGUUAGUGAGAGAGGGACUUUGACACAGGGGAACAAGUCAGAGUCUGGCACCAAGUCAUACAAAUUUUAGGGUCUGUCAUAAUGGAUACCUAAAGCCCAUUUGCUAGAACCAGGGUGCAAGAUUAGUUGGAGAGGGAUCAACAAAAAAAGUGAUCUGAGGCUAAUUUCUCUGAGUGAUGGACCCAGAAGUCCUCUUUUCCCUGCCUAAGGAUCAAUUGGUCUCAGAGCUGGAGGACGACUGAGAUUAUAAGUAGGAAAUAAAGAGCCCAGCCUAAAGAGCUUCAGGGUCAGGGAACCAGAUCUAUCAUUAAAAUUCUGGAGCUCUAGACUUGUCUCCCCACCCUGGCUCCUCAAAAUUUGCUUGUUCUGCAUCCCAUUCUUGUAGGACCAUGGUGCUUAUCUCCUAGGAAAGCAAAGAACCAGGUCUCUGAGAUGGUGGAACAUAAUGAGAAUAAGCUUUUUUUUUUUUUGCUAGGCAGUGGGGUUAAGUGACUUGCCCAGGGUCACACAGCUAGUGAUUGUCAAAU